rnacentral:rRNA from 1 species
GAUGAACGCUAGCGGCAGGCUUAAUACAUGCGAGUCGUGGGGCAGCAGGACUGUAGCAAUACAGUUGCUGGCGACCGGCAAACGGGUGCGGAACACGUACGCAACUUACCCUGAACUGGGGGAUAGCCCGGGGAAACCCGGAUUAAUACCCCGUAAUAUAAUGGAGUGGCAUCACUUUAUUAUUAAAGCUCCGGCGGUUCGGGAUGGGCGUGCGGCUGAUUAGGUAGUUGGUUGAGGUAACGGCUCACCAAGCCUACGAUCAGUAACUGGUGUGAGAGCACGACCAGUCACACGGGCACUGAGACACGGGCCCGACUCCUACGGGAGGCAGCAGUAAGGAAGAUUGGGCAAUGGAGGCAACUCUGACCCAGCCAUGCCGCGUGGAGGAUGAAGGCCCUCUGGGUUGUAAACUUCUUUUAGAGGGGACGAAGCCUGUGUAUUCUUACGCAGUUGACGGUACCCUAGGAAUAAGCACCGGCUAACUCCGUG